GAUGAACGCUGGCUACAGGCUUAACACAUGCAAGUCGAGGGGAAACGCCGGGGAAGCUUGCUUCCCCGGGCGUCGACCGGCGCACGGGUGAGUAACGCGUAUCCAACCUGCCUCUGACUGAGGGAUAACCCGUCGAAAGUCGGCCUAAUACCUCAUGGCAUCGUCUGCGGGCAUCAAACGACGAUUAAAGAUUUCAUCGGCUAGGGAUGGGGAUGCGUCUGAUUAGCGUGUUGGCGGGGUAACGGCCCACCAAGGCUACGAACAGUAGGGGUUCUGAGAGGAGGGUCCCCCACAUUGGAACUAAGGCACAGACCAAACUCCGACGCAAGGCAGCAGUGAGUAAUAUUGGGCAAGGGGCGGGAGCCUGAACCAGCCGAGUAGCGGACAAGGGUACGGGCCUAUGGAUUGUAAGCUACUUUUAUGCAAGGAUAAAGUAAGGGACGUGUCCUUCAUUGCAGGUACCGCAUGAAUAAGGACCGGCUAAUUCCGUG
rnacentral:rRNA from 1 species